rnacentral:lncRNA from 1 species
AUGGAAGAGGAUAAGACCAGAGGCCAGAGGGGCCUCUGGAAAAAUCAUGACUACCACAAGGAGGCAUCUUUUCAUGUUUCUCUUUGCUGCCAGUUGCAGAAACCCAGCGGUCCUCCUAUCUCUAGGAUCAGCAUGGCACCCCUGCCAGGACUACGAAACAUCUUUGUGAACCUGAAGGUCCCUGGCGGCCUGGAGCAAAGUCAUGCAGAGCCAAGUGGGGAGACAGGAGGGAAGCAGAGUGGCCUUUGGUGUUCUCCCAGAACCCCCAGCACCUGCUUUCCUUGGUCCAGCAAUAACCCCGGGGAGGCCUUCAGGUGCCAAAAGACCCAGAGUGGGAGGCUCUCAGGAUGUCUGUUCUUUCAGGCAACAAAUACAGUCAGGUCACAUUUGAUGUGACUCUGAUUUAUGCAAACAUGAAACAAUGUCCUGUGAAAUAUUAAUGAAGUUUCACUUUGUGAACAGAAAGCUAACUUUUUUUCCCCUUGUUAAGAGCAUACAACUAAACACAGUCCAGUGUCUCCCACCUUAGGAAGAAUCCAGGUCCUUUCUUUUGACACCCCACUCCCUCCAGCUCCACCCCCCUUUCCCUUCUCAGCCAAGUUCCCCAGAGCUGAGCUUCUCAGCCUUGAACCCUCAUUAAAAUGCAGGUCCUGGGGUGAUUAGUCUGGGCGGAUGAGGUUCCUCAUUGCCAACAGUCUCCCUGCAGAGCCCAUGGGUCACCCUUUGGGCUGCAGGCUCAUCUUGGGCACAUUUAGCCCUCUAUCCCCUGGUUUCCACCCCACAACCCAGCCCCCACCAGGUCCUCAACAAUUUCCACGCAGAAGGAACCUGUGGGCCCUUGUUAGCCUCAUCUUACUCAGCCUGGGCACCCACACUACUUCCUCCUCCUUGAAACCUGUUCUUCCCUUGGCCAUGCUCCCCUGACUGUCCUCCUACCCCUCUGUCCAUUGCGCCCCUGCCUCCUCUCAUGGGUAUGUGUGUUCAUACCGGCCCAUCUGUAUUCCUUCGCCCCAGUCACUGUGAACUCUUCAGAGCUCAGCAUGUAACCCUACGGUGGACCAAUGGGGCUCAGCCCUAGACUUCUGAAGGAAUAUUAAGGAAGAAAUACCCUCUUUCUGCUAGGGUUGUUAAGACAGGGCAUGGACCCGGAGCUGCCAGUGGCUGUUUCCGCCACCUCUUAGGGGCAGUCAGUUUGAGAAUGAAGCCAAUGAAGAAGAAAGCAGAGCCACGUCCUGAAGAGAAGCAGCCCCCCAAAUUUCCUUUGAGUGCUCGGAUUCAGCCACGCCUGAAACCCACAGACCUUCAAGUUAUGUGAGCAAGGACUCCCUUUCACGCAUAAGUCAGUUAGGGUUGAAUUUCCCAUUACAAGCAACCCAAAGAACCCCAAUGGAUGCAACUGACAAACACGUAUCAGUCCACUCUGCAUCAGCCAUAAUAGGAAGUGAAGCAAAUCCCAGCCAGACCUUGGCCUCCGGGAGUUGACAGUCGUGUGUGUGUGUAUGUGUGUGCGUGUGUGUGUGCAAGGAAGAGACCUGUCCAAAAACCUACAGGGCAGAGAGUGAGAAGGGCCAGCUAAGUGAGCCAGUGAGGGCUUCCUAGAAGAGGCACCCUGAAGGAUGGGGAGACCUGUCUGAGGUGUGACAUCCUCAGACCCGGCUCCAGGCACUGGAGGCGUUGAUGCAGAGCAGGUCCUAGAGGCCAGAGAGGAGGCUCUAGGGAUGCUCUGGAAGAGACGAGAGCCUGGCAAUGGUGGGACGUGGAGUUCCCACUAGAUCACAGUCCCAGGAGGAAAGGCAGGCAGCUCUGCUGUUCUCUCCAUACUUUGUCCUCCCCUUUUACUUAAGCAGCCACCACCUGGUGCCCCAGGACUCUGUAUUCUUUUACUUACUGUUCCCCGGUCCCUCCUUGCCAGGAUCAGAACCUGAGAGGAGGUUCAGAGAACUGACUUGCUUUGCCUAAAAUCAUAUAGCUGUAGAAGCAGGGUCAGGAUAGAGACCCACCCCCUCCGUUUUCUCCCCCCUGAGCAGGCACUUGGAGCUGUCUUUACUGAGCACUUACUGUGUGCCAGGCCCUGGCCGGGGACUUAAACCUCACCUAGUUCUCACACCACUUUCAGCAAAUUGAUCUCUAUUUUGCAAAUGAGGACUGGAGGCUGAGGUGAUGUAACUUGCCUAGGAUCACACAGCUAGAAAGUAGGAGGGUUAACACUUGAACUGAGGUCUGAGUAAUUACUAAAGCCCCUGCAAGGCAAAAAUACUAAAAGCUACCCCAGGUGUGGAAAUUAUGCCAAUGUCUGCCUUGUCUUGUCUCCAUCUAUAUCACAAUGUCUUAUCACUUCCUCUUUCAAGUCCCAAAGUGGUCAAUUCAGCCCAAUUUGUUUUUGUUUUUGUUUUUGUUUUGUUUUGUUUUUUAAUUCAGCCCAUUUUGGUGUUUAUAAAGGGCCUUCAUCAGGACCAGGCUCUGUGCCAGGGAUAGCAGUGAAGCCUUGAGAGGAAAAAUUCUGACCAUUCGCAGCGGGUUUUUUUUCUUUCUUUUUUUUUUAAUUUUAUUUAUUUAUUCAUGAGACACACACACACACACACACACAGAGAGAGAGAGGCAGAGACACAGGCAGAGGGAGAAGCAGGCUCCAUGCAGAGACCCUGAUGCAGACCUCGAUCUCAGGACUCCAGAAUCACGCCCUGGGCUGAAGGCAGGCGCUAAACCGCUGAGCCACCCAGGGAUCCCAAAGGGGUUUUCAAAGUACAAAACAUUUUCAAGUAUGUUACCUGUUUGGUGUGUACGUUCGCCUCUAUCCUCUGCUGGUGGGGUCUGCGGGUAGAUGCACAUGUGAGUGCUCUCUGGGGUCCAGAGCCCGGCAUGGGGCAGGGCCAGCAUAGAAGCUCCAUACAUAUGUGAUGAAUGAAUGGAUGAUGGGAUGAGUGGAUGGCUGAAGGGAUAGGAGGGUGGAUGGGAGAGAUGGAGAGAGGGAUAGGAUUCUGGAAACUUCUCACUGGGCUCUGGAUCUCAUCCUCUCCAUUUAUCUAUUCAGCCAGUUGGUCAGCCUGUCAAUUAACUUGUUGUUUGCACUUUAUUUUUUUUAUAAAUUUAUUUUUUAUUGGUGUUCAAUUUGCCAACAUAUAGAAUAAUACCCAGUGCUCAUCCCGUCAAGUGCCCACCUCAGUGCCCAUCACCCAGUCACCCCCAGCCCACACCACCCCCGCCCACCUCCCCUUCCACCACCCCUAGUUCAUUUCCCAGAGUUAGAAGUCUUUCAUGUUCUGUCUCCGUUUCUGAUAUUUCCCACCCUGGGCUCGAAUCCCCAGUACUCAUUACAUGUGUGACCCUGAGCCAUUCACUUCACCUCUCUGUGCCUCGGUUUCCUUGUCUAUAAAAUGGGAACAAAAUAGCACCUGCCUCUGGUUGUUUGGGGGAGUGAGCAAACAUGAGACUAUGCGUUCCUACCACUCGUGAGCUGAUGGCAGUGGUUGAGUGCCCUGGAGGGGUGGCCCAUCUCUGGGACAAGUUCAUCUCAGACUUAACACAGGGCAUGGCACUCAGGAGGCACCCCAUAAAUGGUGAUCAAAUGGAAAAGUGGUCCCAGCUCAAAACAGUUUACGUUAGAUGAAUGAACAAAUAGGUGAAUGAAUGAAUGAAUGAAUGAAUAAAAUGUUUAAGAGCUGAAGAAACAAAAUGCAUUUCCUCUAAAAUCAGAAAAACAGCAAAGACAAAAUUGUGACAUGUAUAAUUAAAGGUCUUCAGACUGUAACAUCGUGACAACUUUAUUAUUGUUGUGUACAGCAGGUGUGAAAAUGACAAUGUGUUAGAAAACAUUUGUUCCUUGGGUCUUCCUUAUUUCAAGGAUUCCUGAGUGGGCAGUUCAAGUGUGGGAAGCUGGGGCCUAUUAUAAAUCGGAUGAAUUAUUCGUACCUGGCUGAAUUCAAAGGAAAAGCGACAAUCCUUUCCGCCUCUUUACAGUAAAAUAAAGGAAUUUCCCUCAGUGGGUGAAAGUUGGGUGCACCUCUACAUCAGCCAUCCCCCCAGGGAAAGGGUAGAGAGGGGGAGCCAGUGAGCAGAUUCUCAGUCCAGG